rnacentral:rRNA from 1 species
CCUACGGGGGGCAGCAGUGGGGAAUAUUGCACAAUGGGGGAAACCCUGAUGCAGCGACGCCGCGUGAGUGAAGAAGUAUUUCGGUAUGUAAAGCUCUGUCAGCAGGGAAGAAAAUGACGGUACCUGACCAAGAAGCCCCGGCUAACUACGUGCCAGCAGCCGCGGUAAUACGUAGGGGGCAAGCGUUAUCCGGAUUUACUGGGUGUAAAGGGAGCGUAGACGGCAGGGGAAGUCUGGAGUGAAAGGCGGGGGCCCAACCCCGGGACUGCUCUUGGAACUGCAUGGCUGGAGUACAGGAGGGGCAG